GCAUUGGUGGUUCAGCAGUAGAAUUUUUGCCUUACACAUGAGAGACCCAGGUUUGAUUCCUGGCCAUUGCA
rnacentral:tRNA from 1 species